GAUGAACGCUAGCUACAGGCUUAACACAUGCAAGUCGAGGGACCUGCGCACGGGUGAGUAACACGUAUCCAACCUGCCCUUUACUCGGGGAUAGCCUUUCGAAAGAAAGAUUAAUACCCGAUAUAAAGGAUGGGGAUGCGUUCCAUUAGGUUGUUGGUGAGGUAACCGCUCACCAAGCCUUCGCUGGAUAGGGGUUCUGAGAGGAAGGUGCCCUAGAUUGUAACUGAGACGCGGUCCAAACUCCUACGCGAGGCAGCAGUGAGGAAUAUUGGGCAAUGGGCGCUAGCCUGAACCAGCCAAAUAGCGUGAAGGAUGAAGGCUGAGGGGUCGUAAACUUCUUUGAGAUAGGAAUAUGUAUUUUAUGAACAAGGAUAGGCGAACUCCGUGCAAGCAGCCGCGGUAAUUC
rnacentral:rRNA from 1 species